rnacentral:rRNA from 1 species
UACGUAGGGGGCAAGCGUUGUCCGGAAUCAUUGGGCGUAAAGAGCGUGUAGGCGGCUCGAUAAGUCUGCUGUGAAAGUCCAGGGCUCAACCCUGGAAGGCCGGUGGAAACUGUCGGGCUAGAGUCCGGAAGAGGCGAGUGGAAUUCCCGGUGUAGCGGUGAAAUGCGCAGAUAUCCGGAAGAACACCUGAGGCGAAGGCGGCUUGCUGGGCAUGAUCUGACGCUGAGGCGCGAAAGCUAGGGGAGCAAACAGG